rnacentral:rRNA from 1 species
UGCCAGCAGCCGCGGUAAUACGUAGGGGGCAAGCGUUAUCCGGAAUCACUGGGUGUAAAGGGUGCGUAGGCGGUACGAUAAGUCAGAUGUGAUAAACCAAGGGCUCAACCUUUGGACGUGCAUUUGAAACUAUCGAACUAGAGUAUGGGAGAGGAAAGUGGAAUUCCUAGUGUAGCGGUGAAAUGCGUAGAUAUUAGGAGGAACACCAGUAGCGAAGGCGACUUUCUGGAACAUAACUGACGCUGACGAACGAUGGCGUGUGCGGAGAACAGGGUUUGAUG